GAGUGAGCGGCUGCGCGGCUGCUGGGAGGGUGAAUGAAGCCAGGAGGAGGGGAAGGAGGAGGCGGCGGCGGCGGAGGAGGCGCUGCGGGGAUUGGGAUGCGCCCUGGAGCCCCGCUGCUCGUUCACUCUGGGCCGGGCCGGAGACUCCGCCACUCCCGCGGCCGCCGCCGCCGCCGCCUCCUACGUGGUUCCAGCGCUGCGAGCAGGCCGGUCCCGCAGGGGGCAGGGAAGGGGCCGGCCGGGCGGAGCGAGAGAAGCACCGUGCAGCAAGUCGCGAGGCUGGUCCGCGCACGCCGGGGAUUGGUUUGCCAUCCUUGUGAGACGGUCUCCUGCUCCACGGCCACUCCAGGGAGGUGCGCCCCAUAUCAGCCUACUGGAGCAAAAUGAAAGAGUUUAUUCUGAAGUCUCUCAAGCACAGCUGCUCCAGGCCGUGAACAAGAAAGUGUGGACUUCAGCCUGUGGGAAUGGUCUUGAAACACAAGCGGGCGUGGGUAAGUCAUCCAAAGGACUUGGCGUUCGUUAGCUUUAGAUUUCAUCAGCCAUCAUUCAUUUGGUGUCUCAGGACGUCUUCUUCAAGGGCAUGGCUAUUUCUCCACCACCCAAGCAACAGGAUGUUUGAGAAAAUGUUGAUGGAGAGCCAGCAGAGUGACUAAAUUGACUUAGUGUGUGUUUCUGAAGUUUGCGGAGUAGCGGGAUCUGAGGACAAUGCAUUUGUGGUUAGAGAAGAUGGGGGGAAAAAACCAAGAAAAAAAACCCCAACCCCAAACAACUGGACACACAAACAACCAACAGACUACACCUUCCAGACAUUCCUUUUAGCUGAGAGCAUAAGGGAUUAAUCACCCCUGCGACAGUCGAUUCACUCUGGUGGCAGAUUUGUUACCCUGUAGUGCAGUAUCAGGACGGGCAAGGUGAGAAGUGCUGGGGGUUUCCAAGUCUUGCUCCAUAAAUAAUUAUUGAGCACCAUUUAAAAACUAUACUUCGUGCCUGAAUGACAGCCUUGGUUUGGAGGUGGAAUUCUAAUGCUCUAAACUAUAAACAGAUAAUAAAUAAAUACCCAACCAGACACAAAAAAUACUGUCCAUUUCCAAGGAAGUCUGAUCAGCCUAGAUGAUGGUAGUUCUUGGAGACAGUCCUCACAUGGAAGCUAGUUCCUGUUUAAGUAUCUUGGGCACCUCUGUUGGUGACCUUGGACAACUUACUCAUCCUUGUGGAUUGAGUCACCUGUAAAGACGCCGAUGUGUGCCUCAAUGAUCUCUUCCAAUGCUAAAAUCCUAGAGUUGACUCUAGUGAAAUGAAUUAAAUAGUUAGACCCUUUGGUUAUUGCUCAGCCAAAUCGAUUAUGAGCCCUUGGUGAGCAAUCAUCGGCAGGGGAAGGCGCUCACUGGACUGGCCAGUGUGGAGAAAGGGGGCCAGGCACUUGGGGGGCCCUUCUUCCCAUUUCUCCCUGUGAUCUUGUGAACCAGCCAGCCCUUUGGUCUAAGAAGCCUUGUGGUGUCUGUAGUUAGUAGUGUCUUGCAGCAUUAAAGACAAGGUGGCACAUUGUUAUAUGAACAUAAUGUAAUACAACAUAAUAUAGUAUAAUAUGAUAUAAUAUUGUCCCUUAUUUUUCGGUCAUGGGUCUAACUCUUCCUUCCUAUUCGAGGUCACUGUCUUACAGAUUAUCUGCCCGUCCCUGAACUUCAUGAAGCCCUGAACUUUGUUUUAAGUUGAACAGAGUUGAUUAUUUUUCUUUCUUACUGAACGUCCCUGUUCCAAACAGAGAUAUGAAUGACACUUUAAAUGAUGCUCACAUGUCACUCUUGUUAGCGACUGGCCGUCUGCCUCAGAGUGGUGCAUUAUUUGGGUUUCACAACGGCAUUUUUUCUUCUCUGACAAAUGCUAAAUUACGAAGUGCAGGAAACCACAUGAAUGUGGCAGGAUGAAAAUGUGAACAUUGUGUUAUCUGGUAACGCCAGGGUGAUGGUUCUCUUGGGUGACAGUCUCCUCUCUGCACUCAAUGUAUAAAGUCCAUUUACCUCUUUGAGGGCCGCCUUCUGACUCCUGUCUUUAUCUUCACGAAUACUGUGUGCCACCGUCCCCGUGUCACUGAAUCGGGAAGUUUGGUUAAGACGAUUGCACGGGGCCAUCUCUCUCUGUCUAAGCCCUGCCGGUUCACACUCACAAAGCCUUCCCAGAAUGCUCAGGCCUCUGUGAGCUCCCACAGCAUUUAGAACAUGCAUGA
rnacentral:lncRNA from 1 species